rnacentral:rRNA from 1 species
AGACGACUCCUACGGAGGGCAGCAGUGGGGAAUAUUGGGCAAUGGGCGCAAGCCUGACCCAGCAAUGCCGCGUGAAGGAAGAAGGCCUCGGGUUGUAAACUUCUUUUAUCAGGGACGAAGGAUGUGACGGUACCUGAUGAAUAAGCUCCGGCUAACUACGUGCC